UUGCUCCCCAUGUCGAAGUCUGCAUUUCCCUCGUAGCAUUAGAUCAUCCUAGAUACAGUAUUAAUCUUCUGGUGCUCUUCUGCUGCCUGGGGUUUAAGAGUGUCGUUCUCUAUCCCUCUGGCCAGCUGAGGGUGCUAGGCGGUGGUGGGCAGGUGGGCAGGAAUCUCAGGAAAGGUCUUGAACCUGACACCUGAGCUGAGUCCUGAAGAAGGAACUGGAGUGGGCCAGGUGAAAAAAGGGGUGGGGAUGGGCCUAGGCAGACUCUGAAGGAGCCAGGCCCAUAAAAGAUAUACAGCAGGGAGGGUGGAGCCUCCAGCAGCCCCAGGCUCCUAGAGCAUAAAGUUCAAGGCAGGGGGCCAGGAAUGGCAGGAAAUAAAGAAGACAGACAGGUGACAGGCCCUUCCGGUGCCCUGUUAAAGGCAUAGACUUUGCCCCGCAGGCCGCAGGGAGCAGUGGGGUGUUGAGCAUGACCAGAGUAUGUUGUGUGCGGCCGCACCCUCCAGCCCACCUCGCUUUCCUUUGGAGGGCACGAGGGGCUCAUCUUUCCUAGCUCCUCCUUCCUUCCUCCCAUCUGGCUUGCCUCUCUCCCUUCUCUGCAGUUGAUCCCGAGGUCUGCAGAACCCACAUUCAGGAAGUUUCAGUCCCAGAUCAGAGGUGGUACUGAUUGCAGUCCCAGAGAGUUCAGGGACAGGAAGGAAGGAGGGGUGGGGGCUGUAGAGUGCAGCAGGGCCCUGCCCCUCUGUGACCUGAAUGGGGAGGAAAAGGGGGAAUGGGGCCCAUUUCUCUAUUCCUGCCCAACCUCUGAUUGGCCCCCUGGAGUGCACAGUGAGUGCGCAGCUGGGAGAACUCCAGAUAUCGGUAUUUUAUUAUUGCUAAUAAAUAAUGUAAGUGCCCUACGCAUCUGGGACAUUUCAUAUUUGACGAUGCCCCUUCAGGAAUAUUUCCUCAUUCUCUCUUCACUACAAUUUCCGGAGCGGGCAGGGCAGACAUUGUGCAGCGGCGGAACUGAAGCAGGGGGUACUCCAACUUGCCGAAGGUCGCCCAGGUGGGAAGUGGCCGGGUCGGGACUGGGUGACCCCGGAGCUGCCCUGACGGUCACGCCUCCUUCCUCCUCCCACAGGUGGACGACCCCCCGGAGCCCGUGUACGAGAACGUCGAGAGGCAGCCCCUGCCCCCUUCACCCGGCACCGCCUCGGUCCCCCGCCCCCCCGCAUGGGAGACGCACACGGACGCGGGCAGCGGGCGCCCCUACUAUUACAACCCAGACAC
rnacentral:lncRNA from 1 species